ensembl:snRNA U6 U6 spliceosomal RNA
AUGCUCGCUUCAGCAGCACGUAUACUAAAACUGUAACGAUACAGAGACAAUUAGCAUGGCCCCUGCGUAAGGAUGACAAGAAAAAGAAAAAAAAAACACACAAAACUUU